AUACUUACCUGGCAGGGGUGAUGCCAUGAUCACCAGGGUGAUUUUCCCAGGGUGAGGCUUAUCCAUUGCACUCCGGAUGUGCUGCCCCACUGCGAUUUCCCCAAGUGUGGGAAACUGGACUGCAUAAUUUGUGGUAGUGGGGGACUGCCUUUGCACUCUCCCA
rnacentral:snRNA from 1 species